UGCCUUACCCAGUAUAGUGGUUAUGACACUCGGCUUGUAAUCGAGUGGGCUCGGUAUCGAAUCCCGAAUCCCGAAUGAGGCAU
rnacentral:tRNA from 1 species